GGUGAAGCUUAGUGGUAGAGCGCUUGCCUCAUGUGUGUGAUACCCUGAGUUCAAUCCCCAGCACUG
rnacentral:tRNA from 1 species